rnacentral:rRNA from 1 species
GACGAAGGGGGCUAGCGUUGUUCGGAAUUACUGGGCGUAAAGCGAGUGUAGGUGGUUUUCCAAGUUGGAUGUGAAAGCCUUGAGCUCAACUCAAGAAAUGCAUUCAGGACUGGAAGACUAGAGGACCGGAGAGGAUAGUGGAAUUCCCAGUGUAGUGGUGAAAUACGUAGAGAUUAGGAAGAACACCAGUGGCGAAGGCGGCUAUCUGGACGGUUUCUGACACUAAGACUCGAAAGCGUGGGGAGCAAACAGG